rnacentral:tRNA from 1 species
GGAGGAAUACCCAAGUCUGGCUGAAGGGAUCGGUCUUGAAAACCGACAGGCGGAUCAAACCGCGCGGGGGUUCGAAUCCCUCUUCCUCCUCCA